rnacentral:rRNA from 1 species
AUCGGUAUGGGAUGGGGUCGCGUCCUAUCAGCUUGAUGGCGGGGUAACGGCCCACCAUGGCUUCGACGGGUAGCCGGCCUGAGAGGGCGACCGGCCACAUUGGGACUGAGAUACGGCCCAGACUCCUACGGGAGGCAGCAGUGGGGAAUAUUGCACAAUGGGCGCAAGCCUGAUGCAGCGACGCCGCGUGCGGGAUGGCGGCCUUCGGGUUGUAAACCGCUUUUGACUGGGAGCAAGCCCUUCGGGGUGAGUGUACCUUUCGAAUAAGCACCGGCUAACUACGUGCCAGCAGCCGCGGUAAUACGUAGGGUGCAAGCGUUAUCCGGAAUUAUUGGGCGUAAAGGGCUCGUAGGCGGUUCGUCGCGUCCGGUGUGAAAGUCCAUCGCUUAACGGUGGAUCCGCGCCGGGUACGGGCGGG